rnacentral:rRNA from 1 species
CCUACGGGAGACAGCAGUGGGGAAUAUUGGACAAUGGGCUGAAGCCUGAUCCAGCGACGCCGCGUGAGGGAAGAAGUCUUUCUGGAUGUAAAGCUCUUUUAGCAGGGAAGCAAGGACUGACGGUACCUGACGAAGAAGCCGCGGCUAACUACGUGCCAGCAGCCGCGGUAAUACGUAGGGGGGAAGCGUUAUCCGGAUUUACUGGGUGUAAAGGGUGUGUAGGCGGGGAUGCAAGUCUGAAGUGAAAGGCGGGGGCCCAACCCCCGGACUGCGUUUGAAACUGUUUGGCUGGAGUGCAGGAGAGGUAAGUGGAAUUCCUAGUGUAGCGGUGAAAUGCGUAGAUAUUAGGAGGAACACCAGUGGCGAAGGCGGCAUACUGGACUGCAACUGACGUUGAGGCACGAAAGCGUGGGGAGCAAACAGGAUUAGAUACCCCAGUAGUC